GAUGAACUAACCAGCCAGCCUAAUGUGUAAUUUUUUUAUCCAUGAAAAACACCUUUGGCCGGAAUCGUUAUCACUUAUCCGCGUGACUCAUGCUCCGUCGAAGACCUUAUGACGUUGCCUAGUUGAAAUGCAGAAGCACAAGGGUAGCCAAUAUUAUUUUUGCAGGAGGCAACUUCAGAUUGUUGGGUGAGAAUUCAAAUUUAUGAACUUUAUAUUAUUUAUUAAUUAACAUCUUAGCCGUCCCCAGUUCCGCUUUCGCCGUUUUUAGUACAAGUGCAACAAUUCGAGGGGCCGUAUCGGAUCAGAGAGUCACAGUGGAACGUGGGAAAUAAAGUUAAAUGAAGUGAUUAUUAUAAUUGAAGAUAAUUCAUAGUUUGACACUUGCAUGUGCAUGCAUGGGCUGCUGAUGCUAAUGCUCCACUUUGUUUAAUCAAUAUAAUAAUAAAUUUGCAUGUUUAGUUUCCCAAUUAAUCCGUCGAACUGAAAUCGAACUAGCUUUCGCCUGUCUCAGGAGCUGCAUGCCUAGCUAGCCCCCUCCCAAGAUAACACCGCCAUAUUCGUUAUUUCCCCAAGUACUGGCUGGCUCCAACGCAAUAGCUAAUCAAAGCCAAAAAAGAACUUCUCUUGUUCUUUAAUUUUUUAAUUAUUUUUUAUUGACUUUUAAUUUAUUGUUAUUCAAAGCAAAAAAAAGAAACUACAAACGACAAGAUGAACCGAUGCUACCAAAUGGAAAUGUAAAUAGAUUAGCAGAAGCUGAAGAUAAUGAUCAUAAUUCUUUUUGUCCAGACAUAGGAUACAGAUGGGAAGGAUCCGGCAAUCAGAUUGCCAUAUAUAGCAAAACUGGUCUUUAUUGUCACCUUAAUAACCACUUUUUGCAGUCUACUAAUUAUUUAUUUCUUUCACCUUAUCCCAAUGUAAUUCAUUACACCAACUCUUCGCAUCAUAUGUCUAAAUCUAAAUAAUAGUGAAACCAAGAUAGUUAUAAAUCUUGUGUAAAAUUUUAAAUUUAAAAUGAAUUUGAAAUUAUACCAAGUAAAUUUCAGUUUUACAAAUUUUCAUCACUUUUACAUCAAAAUAUCUUUUAGACAGUGAUUUAAGUUCGUCUCGCUCUCAUCCACGCCAUUACCUGACAGGUUCAUACCCCAACCAAAUUUACUAAACAAGCUCACUUAAAUGAAUUCUCCAAGACGAAACCAGGUGGGACGACAAUAGUUGUCUGACUGAUUGCUCUUGCAUAUCUUGUUUUAUAAAAAUACUAAUCGCAUUUAGCCAAAAAAAUUGUAUUAGGUGCAUAGGUCGUUUGGAACACGAAUGGGUUGCUCAUAAUCUUGUCCUAG
rnacentral:lncRNA from 1 species